ACUCCUACGGGAGGCAGCAGUAGGGAAUCUUCCACAAUGGGCGCAAGCCUGAUGGAGCAACGACCGCGUGAGUGAAGAAGGGUUUCGGCUCGUAAAGCUCUGUUGUUAAAGAAGAACACGUAUGAGAGUAACUGUUCAUACGUUGACGGUAUUUAACCAGAAAGUCACGGCUAACUACGUGCCAGCAGCCGCGGUAAUACGUAGGUGGCAAGCGUUAUCCGGAUUUAUUGGGCGUAAAGAGAGUGCAGGCGGUUUUCAAGUCUGAUGUGAAAGCCUUCGGCUUAACCGGAGAAGUGCAUCGGAAACUGGAUAACUUGAGUGCAGAAGAGGGUAGUGGAACUCCGAUGUGUAGCGGUGGAAUGCGUAGAUAUAUGGAAGAACACC
rnacentral:rRNA from 1 species